rnacentral:lncRNA from 1 species
AUUAACAUGGUAAAAAGUGAAAAUGCAAACAGAAUCCAGGCUGUGCAGUGAAGAGGAAAACCUCGCCCCCACCUUGUCCCCAGCUGGCAUGCCCCUCCCCGGAGCCGAGGCCUGCCUCCAGUUCCCAGAGGACAUCCCGGCACCCCGAGAGUCCCAGCACGUGGGAACACCCACACUCCCCCGAAAAGCACACCAGGUGCUGACUGUUCUGUUCUUUGCUUUGUUCACUGGACAGUUAUCUCGGAGACGGCAGGCGUCUCCGUCCAGGGCGGCCGUGACCCGAUUCGCACACCGGGUGGCUAAAUAGACGUUUGUUCUCUCGCAGUCCUGGAGGCCAGAAGUCUGGAAUUCAGGAAGAGGCAGUGGUGGCUCCUUCUGGAUGCCCUGAGGGAGAAUCUGUCCUUGCCUUUCCCAGUGUCUCACGGUGGCCGGCAAGCCUUAGCUUGUAGGCAGAGCACUCUAACCUCUGCCUCCAUCUUCGUGUGGCCUGUCCCCCAUGUGUCGCCUCUUUUUAUGAAGACCCCAAUUGUUGGCUUAAGGGCCCACCCUACUCCAGUAUGACCUCAUCUUAACUAGUCACAUCUGCAAAGACCCUAUUUCCACAUAAGGUCACGUUCACGGGGACCUGGGCUGUUGGGGAGAGUAACCAGGAAGGGGUAUCUGACCGGUCUGAGAGGAAGAGCAGCAUCUGACUGAGCCACGGAGGGGACCUUGAAGCUGGAGCUGAGGGACCAGCUUUUACAAGGGGAGCGGAUGAAGUGUGACAACAGUGUGCCACCUGGUCCUCCCAUCAAGUCGCAAUACUGUCCCAGCUGAAGCGCCCUCUCCAGCACUCUGCUGACCCCGGGCCUGGACAGGGUGCCCGGAAGCCUUUCAGCCACCCCCACGAGGAGGGGCCCACCAUCUCCAUCCUACGGCUGCUGCUCUAAGGGCCUGCCCUUCCCCGUCUCAGGGAACCAGAGGACGCGAGCACCACCUGAGCAGCGACGAUCAAGGUGUGCAAGGCAGGGUGCAGGAGACCCAGCCAGCCAGGCAGAUGCUUCCCUAACCCUCUGUACAGCGGAGGCGCAGGCGACAGAUGCACAACCGGAGCAGCGAGGAGGCAGGGCUUGGAGUGUGCGCUCCCCACUCUGCCCCCUCGGUUACAAGUCUGGGUGGCAUGCACCUGCCAGGGCCUGCCGGGCCAGGACUCUGACAAGGUGCUCACUUACACUAAUGCCAAUGGGAGCUGGGGUGAAUUAUCAGGUUCCAGCUCAAAAACCGAGAGGCCAGGUUUUCCCGUGCCAGACACAGACUCUGAGGGAAGGUACAAGGAGGAGGUUCCGCUGAGCAGAGCAGGGCAGCACAGCCCACGGAAAGCACUGCAGCGGCCACUGGGGCAGAUCCGCAGUCUCCCUAGGCCUCCUGCUCAAUGAGGCGACUCCAUCCGCUUGUGAAGAAAAACCAGAACUCUGCUUGGGAACACAGGCAGGCAGCGAGCACACCAUUCUGUCAAAGGGUCUUACUUCACUCCAACUUAGCAAAACAAGCGAC